AUAUCAAUAAGCGGAGGAAAAGAAACUAACAAGGAUUCCCCUAGUAACUGCGAGUGAAGCGGGAAGAGCUCAAAUUUAAAAUCUGGCGGCCUUCGGUCGUCCGAGUUGUAACCUGGAGAGGCAUUUUCCGCGUUGGACCGUGUACAAGUCUCCUGGAAUGGAGCGUCGUAGAGGGUGAGAAUCCCGUCCAUGACACGGACGUCCCAAUGCUCUGUGAUGUGCCUUCGAAGAGUCGCGUUGUUUGGGAAUGCAGCGCAAAAUGGGUGGUAAAUUCCAUCUAAAGCUAAAUAUUGGCGAGAGACCGAUAGCGAACAAGUACCGUGAGGGAAAGAUGAAAAGCACUUUGAAAAGAGAGUUAAACAGUACGUGAAAUUGUUGAAAGGGAAACGCUUGAAGUCAGUCGCGUUCCGUGGAACUCAGCCUUACCUCGGUUCGGUGUACUUUCCAUGUGAACGGGUCAACAUCAAUUUUGGCCGGCGGACAAAGGCGAGGGGAAUGUGGCGUCGCUUCGGGGACGUGUUAUAGCCCCUUGUUGUAUGCGCCGGCCGGGAUUGAGGACCGCAGCACGCCCUCUGUGGCCGGGGGGGUUCGCCCCCUACGUACCGUGCUUAGGAUGUUGGCAUAAUGGCUUUAAGCGACCCGUCUUGAAACACGGACCAAGGAGUCUAACAUGCCUGCGAGUGUUCGGGUGGAAAACCCUUGCGCGUAAUGAAAGUGAAAGGUUGGGAACCCUUAGGUUCCUUAGGGGUGCACUGACGCCCGGCCCUGAAGUUCUCUGACGGUGCUGCGGUAGAGCAUGUAUGUUGGGACCCGAAAGAUGGUGAACUAUGCCUGAAUAGGGCGAAGCCAGAGGAAACUCUGGUGGAGGCUCGUAGCGAUUCUGACGUGCAAAUCGAUCGUCAAAUUUGGGUAUAGGGGCGAAAGACUAAUCGAACCAUCUAGUAGCUGG
rnacentral:rRNA from 1 species